GUUCUUAUUCGGUCCGCUUCU
rnacentral:miRNA from 1 species